rnacentral:rRNA from 1 species
CAACCUGCCCUUCAGAGGGGGACAACAGUUGGAAACGACUGCUAAUACCGCAUACGAUCUAACCUUGGCAUCGAGGAUGGAUGAAAGGUGGCCUCUAUUUAUAAGCUAUCACUGAAGGAGGGGAUUGCGUCUGAUUAGCUAGUUGGAGGGGUAACGGCCCACCAAGGCGAUGAUCAGUAGCCGGUCUGAGAGGAUGAACGGCCACAUUGGGACUGAGACACGGCCCAGACUCCUACGGGAGGCAGCAUG